AGAGUUUGAUCAUGGCUCAGGACGAACGCUGGCGGCGUGCUUAACACAUGCAAGUCGAACGAAGUAGCAAUACUUAGUGGCGGACGGGUGCGUAACACGUGACUAACUUGCCCUAGACUGUGGAAUAACGGAGGGAAACUUCCGCUAAUACCGCAUAUUGAGCGCGGAUGGCAUCAUCUGCGCUUGAAAGAUUUAUCGGUCUAGGAUAGGGUCGCGGCCUAUUAGCUUGUUGGUAGGGUAAUGGCCUACCAAGGCAACGAUGGGUAGCUGGUCUGAGAGGAUGAUCAGCCACACUGGGACUGAGAUACGGCCCAGACUCCUACGGGAGGCAGCAGUGAGGAAUAUUGCGCAAUGGACGAAAGUCUGACGCAGCAACGCCGCGUGAAGGAUGAAGGUGCUCUGCAUUGUAAACUUCUGUAGGGAGGGAAGAAUGGCCUGCUAUCGGCGGGUUUGACGGUACCUCCAAAGUAAGCACCGGCUAAUUCCGUGCCAGCAGCCGCGGUAAUACGGAAGGUGCAAGCGUUGUCCGGAUUGACUGGGUGUAAAGGGCGCGUAGGCGGAGAUGUGUGUCGGGAGUGAAAUCGUGCGGCUUAACCGUACAAUGGCUUUCGAAACUACAUCCCUUGAGUACAGAAGGGGUUGAUGGAAUACCUGGUGUAGCGGUGGAAUGCGUAGAUAUCAGGUAGAACACCGGAGGCGAAGGC
rnacentral:rRNA from 1 species